UAACUUUUUAUCCACUGCACUAAUUGUACCGUCCGCCAGGUGGCACCAACACAACGCCAUUUAAAUGUGUUCCAGGUGUUCACUGUUGCCUACAGCAGCACCAGCAGCUCUCAAUAACAAUAACAAGCAGAGAACGGAUUUUGGAACCUGGUAUUCCGGGGAUUUGUGAGGACAGAAGUAAAGGUCGGAUCCGAGGCUACUAGGACUAGUGACAAAUGAAGAGACAAGCUUCCAGGCCUGGAACCAAUUAAAGCAGGAGAAGCCCCUCCACAAGUCCACCAGAGGCGCUUUCGGCAUGGAGACAGAGGCAGGUGCUACUCUGGAGAAGUAAUCAACAGCACCUCUGUUCUAAGGGGUUUGAGUUGGAUGCCAAGGGUCGCCGUGUCAAGGUCACGUCAAGCAACAGUGAGCAACUGAUGCAACAGAUGGCAGAGCAAAUGCUACCUCAUACUGAGCCAGAUUAGCCAUCAGAGACUCAUGUGUCCAACACCUGCAGUUAGUAGAAGUUUCCCCUUCAAACACAUCUGAAACAAUUUCUGUGGUGUCUGAAUAGUUCCUCUGCCUGAGCCAAGAAUUCGCAGGCUUUUAAAAGGUCAGCUCUACACCAUUCGUUUAUUAUCCAUGUAUGCUCAGCUGGUGAAUUCUGUCUUUUAAGUGUAUCCUGGUGUCUAUCAGACAUCAGUCUACUUGAAAAUCACCUUUGCUCACUGUGAACUAGGAAUAUCUACCAGAUGUUGAGACAUCUGCUAAACAGUUUUUACACAUUUCCUCCUACAUGAAGUACAGUGAUCACAUGUGAACAAACAAGAUAAUGCAGAAAUGACAUGAAUUUAGACUUGUUGUCCAUUCACAUUGAUUAGUCUGGUUGACGUAUAUACCUGAAGACUGGUUCAUAUAUAACUAUAAUGAUAAAUACUGCCGUCCACAACAAUGCAGAAUAUCAUUGCAUGUUAUUUUUCAUAAUUUACUUUUAUUACAGUAAUGAGUGUGGAAAAAGGACAUUGUAAAAAAGUGUUGCUUAAGUUUUGUUCAUUGCUAAUUCAUGUUUUUUAUUAAUACAAACAAUACAAUGUUAAUUUUUACAAAUGACAAAAAAUAUGUGUAGAAAUAAACAUUAUUUCGAAUUCGAGUACCACACAAAUUACCAAUCAAUCAGAAACCAGUAAGUGUUAUGCUACACUGACUCUCUGCACAUAAAAUAAGCGUCCUGGGUGUUUAGUUAUCUGGGAGCUCUCUUUUAUCCUUGUUGGUUGACUCACCAGGCUG